UACGAAGGGGGCUAGCGUUGCUCGGAAUGACUGGGCGUAAAGGGCGCGUAGGCGGAAAUGACAGUCAGACGUGAAAUUCCUGGGCUCAACCUGGGGACUGCGUUUGAGACGUUGUAUCUAGAGUGAGGAAGAGGGUUGUGGAAUUCCCAGUGUAGAGGUGAAAUUCGUAGAUAUUGGGAAGAACACCGGUGGCGAAGGCGGCAACCUGGUCCUUUACUGACGCUGAGGCGCGAAAGCGUGGGGAGCAAACAGG
rnacentral:rRNA from 1 species